rnacentral:lncRNA from 1 species
GUAACACCCCUUACCCGAGACCGUUUCCGGAAUCGAGCACGAGGCAUUACUUAGCUUAUCUUACCAAUUCGGAGCAUAAAAACUAGGUUUGAAAAUUUAUUUCAUUAUUCGCAGCAAAUCUGUCUAAUCGCGCAGCAGUUACUAAAUUAAUUAUAACUUGAGCUACAGAACUCGAAAUUUAAUCCCGUAAAUUUUCCAUGAAACUAGACUCAUAUAUCUACUCACCAUAAAAUUUUUAGAAUUUUUGGUUCAGCAAAUUAGUACAGUUUAUUAGUUAAAGUCUCCCCUGUGUCACCACCAGACUGCCCUGACCUCUAGUCACUAAAAAUAAGUUUUCUCACUAUAGGAUUUUCAUAUGAAGUUCUUACUUGUUUCUAUAGAAAAUAGACUCAUUAAGAAAUCUAAGCAUGUAAAUUUCAACUCAUAAACAUUUUUGUACAAUUUUUUAUUAUUUUCUAAACUCAGAACAGGGGACUCCAAAAACAGUUCUGACCCUAUCUUACUAAAAUUCACAUAUCUUAAAAUAUAAAUUUCUUUUUUUCUACACCGUUAUUUUUCCAUGAAAAUAGACUCAACAAGCUUUAAUUCCAUAUAUCAUUCACCCUCUAAUUCAUUUUAUACUAUCUUGGGUGAUUUUUCAAAUUCACGUCACUGUGCUGCCUGAAUUCUGUUUCUUUGCAAAAUUUUAUCCUUUCAUGAUUUCCAUGCAUAAUUUAUCACCUAAUAUUUCAUAACAACAAACACCUUCAUCCUUAAUCAUUUUAAUAACCAUACAUCAUCAAAUACUUACACAUCACUCAUUAGCAAAAUCAUCACUACAAACAUACAAAAUAACUAAAUUCCUAUACAUGCCAUAACUUAAACGUGUUUCGAUAUAAAAUACCGAGCAGUUGUAGUUGAUAGUGUGGACGAUCUCCGACUUCUUUAGGAUCCUUGAAGUAGCUUUGCAAUACUAUAAGAGAAAGAAAUAAAAGAAGUAAGCAUAAAGCUUAGUAAGUUUACUAGCAAAUAAAUAACAAUAUUUAACUUAAAUAAUUAAACUCAAUGUCUAUAUCUCUAGUUUACUCUUUAGUUAAUCUCAUACUAGUUCUCUUACUUGUUUACUUAGAAUAUUUGUGUGCAUAACUUACUCAAUCCUUGCUGCAUCGUUGAACAUCAAUUGAUAGUAUAAUAAGUUCUUAAGUCUUACAACUUACCUGAGCUUGCCAUUUAUGCUUUAAAAACAUGAUUCGUUUACAAGCCCGUUGAACUACAUUGGAAUAAUAAGGAUACUCGGGUCUCUUCUGAUAAUAACAUGCCAAAGCCAUGUCCCAGACAUGGUCUUACAUGGGAUGUUCUCGUGAUGGUGCCCAUGCCAUGUCCCAAACAUGGUCUUAUAGGGGACCUCUCAUCUCGGUGCCAACGCCAUGUCCCAGACAUGGUCUUACAUGGGACCUCUCGUCUCGGUGCCCAUGCCAUGUCCCAGACAUGGUCUUACAGGGGACCUCUCAUGAUCUUAAGGAUGCCAAUGCCAUGUCCCAGACAUGGUCUUACAUGGGAUCUCUUUACCCAAAUGUCAUGACAUUCGUAUCCAGUACCAUCCUUAUGUAUCAACGGGACUUUUAAAUUUUAAUUCUCUAUCAUUUCAUGCUUGGAUCAUCAUCAAAUAAAUUCAUAAAAUAAAUUCAUAAUUGCUGGAAAUUAACAGCAUUAAUAAUAAAUAUUGAAAUAUUGCAUUUAUUUACCGUAAACUUACCUCGGUACCAAUUAUAGCCAAAUUCACCAACUUAGUCUUCAACUUUAUUCUUCCCUUUGUCUAACCUCGAGUUUCGUACUUCUUGAUCUAAAAUAGUAAAUUUAACUUAUUUAAUAAUCACAUUCAUCAAAAUAGCCCUCGACUCUAACUUUUUCAAAAUUACAAUUUUGCCCCUAAACUUUUACAUAAUUACAUUUUUGCCCCAAGGCUCGGAAAUUAAACUUCAUCUCUUAUUCUUAUGUUUUAUAACAUUCUGAACAUUUUUCCCUUCUAUGGCAACAUCAAAUUCUAAUUUAAUCCCUUAUCAAUACUAAUUUUAUUUUUGCAUUCUAACUCUAUAUUCUCUCUUAAUUCUUACUAUAAAGUCAAUUUAAUUCCUCAAUUUCACCAUAAAUCCCUAAUUUCGGGAUUCUUUCAAUUUAAUCCCUAUCGAUUCAAAACUUAUAUUUUAUUUUACAAUUACGUUCUUUACUAACUUCUAACUUGAAAUUAAAUCAAUUUAACCCCUAACUAAACCUAUAUAUUUUUCUUUCUCAAUUCAUACCCUUAUUCUACCCAAUUUCUUGCUAAACUCAUAUUUAACUAUUUAAUUUUUAUCAUGUUUUCAUAAUUCCGAAUUUAUUUCAAAUUAAUCCCUAAAAUUCAAAACUUAUAGUUUAGUUUACAAUUCAAUCCUUUAUUCAAUUCCAAUCAAAAUUUCUAUCAAAUACAUCCCUAAUUUAACAAUUUAUUCAACAUGAACCAUGCUUAAUAAUCUACUAACUUCCAAAAUUUCAACUUAAUCAAGUAGUAUUUUGUUCUAGGAUUUCAAAAAAAAUAUCAAAAUUAAGAGAAAAUGGGAUUAAAUUGACUUACCAAAUUACUUUGAACCUUAAAACCCCAAAUUUCCCUUUUUCUUUUCUUUUCUUUCUUUCUUUCUUUCCUUCCUUCCUUCUCUGUUUCGUUUUGCUCUCUGUUUCUUUCUUUCUCCCUUCUCUGUUUUGUUUUGCUCUCUGUUUCUUUUCUUUCUUUCUUUGUCAUAUAUAUAAUAAUAUAAUAAUAUAAUAUAAUAUAAUAUAUUAAUAAUAAUAUAAUAUAAAAACAUAAUUAUUACUUACGCAUGUAUAAUAUAAUAUAUAUUUUAAAUUAAAAAUAUCUUAGAUUUUUCUUUUGUUAUGCCGCCUCAACUUUAGAAAAAGGCAUAAUUGCCUAUUUGGUCCUUUAACUUUUCUUUAAUCUAUAAUUAAACUUUUAUCCUUACUUCAAUUUAGUCCUUUUUCAUAAUUAACUAUCAAAGCGUUAAAAUUUCUUAACGAAACUUUAAUAUUAUCCUGUUGACACUCCGUAAAUAUUUUUAUAAAUAUUUACGGCUCAGUUUAUAAUAUCGAGGUCUCGAUAUCUCGUUUUCGACCCAAUUUACCUAAUAAUUUCUUUUAAAUCACAAAAUUCACUGAUUUAAAAAAUAUUUCUAAAAUCACACUUAACUUAUAAUUAUUAAUUAAUAAAUUUUUCUAACUUUUUCAUCAAUUUUAGUGAUCUCAAAUCACUAUUCUGACACUACUAAAAUUUGGGCUGUUACAACUCUUCCCCCCUAAAAAAAAAAUUUCGUCCUCGAAAUUUCUCACCUGAUACAGGCUAUUAAGUCAAAUCUUUCUUCCACCCUUUCAAUCGAAGUCCAUAAAAAUUAAUCAUAACUCAUAUCACUUCCGAAAUCAUAUCAGAACUCAUUUUAGAACUUGAUACUAUGCCUGAACUUAACUGAGUAACUCUGAUGUUCUCUUGCCAUCACUUUUUCACUAGUAGUAUGACUACUAAGAAAUUUCCAGUAAUUGUCUGUCGAAACAUAACUGAGAAACUCGAAUUAUCUUAUUUAAUACCUUUGAACAAAGACCUUGGAAACCCAUCCAGCGAGAAGAAAACAGAUAAUUUAAACCCAUUGUGGAGACCCAAAAUAUAUUGAUUCCUUCACUGAUGAUUACUCAACUUUUCACUGAAUAACCCACUCUGAUUAGAACAACUGAGUCGAUUUUAUCUAUCAGAUAAUAACAUUUCAGAAUAAUCCAUUCUUCUUGUUGUCAAAACAAUCCAGAUAUACCAUAUAUCAUAAUCCUCUCGGAACACCAAUCGAAAAUUUCCACUAAUAGCAUUUAACUCAAACGAAUUUUGACAUUCCAUUAUUGACUUGUUGACAUAAUUUCAGAAUUACCUGAGAAAUGAAAACCAAAAUACAAGUUUGAGCUCAAUCUUCCUCCAUCUAUACUUUUGCCGAUGUCAACCCUUUCACGAAAACUAGAAAGGAAUUAUAUAUAUAAUAAAACUAUUUCAAUCAUUAACAUCGAAGCUUUGAACUAUACCGAAGCCACAACCAUCAAAUAGAUUAAAAACUAUAGAGCUAUACUAGGACCGACGUUCCAACUAUAUAGAUAGAACAAUACCUCAACAUCAAUAGUGCACUCCAAAAUAGAUGAAGAAAACCGAAGUAGUCCCAAUAACAACCAGUGCAGUAAUACAACUUCUAAAAUCUGAGAUCCAUAUCACCGAGUUCCCAUGAUCAAACCAAGAUUUAUAACAGUAAUAAAUAUAAUUACCUCCGGCCAAUGAAUAUCUUGUACGGAUAAACCAUGGUUAAUAGAUAAGAUUAGACCAUAAGAAUAAUAAGAAAACCGAGAUAAUAAAAUCCAAGAUGUGAAGCUAUACUAAAUUUCCGAUAAGAAAAAACCACAUUGAAUGAUAAAGAGAUCGAUGAUAUCCCAGAGAAAAUCCAAAAGAAGAAUAUCACUUGUAAAUCCAAAAGAAGAAUAUCACUUGUACGUACUAGGAAUAGUUGUGAUAAAGACAAUAUAAAUUCCAUAUAUAUAAUUCGGAGCUUCAACCAGUAGAAAUAGAAAAUAGCUUCAUAUGAGUCUUAUCAUCAAAUCUUCCAUCGAACAUAAUAGAUUAGAAAACCAAAGAAAGAUAGAGGAAUCCCGAUCAUGAAUCAACCAGACUAAUAAUAAUUUCGUCUAACAAUACGAUUAGCCAACCUUGCUAUAUGAUAAGAAUCAUAUAUGAAAAUAAAUAAUUGCAUAUACCUCUGAGGAUAAAAGAGCAUAUAGAAUACCCAUAUAGAAUACCCAGAAGAGAUCAUUGUAAAAUACUCGACUAUAACAACUGCAUUCAGAUAUGUUUGCAAUUUUCAACACAAUCCCACUGAUUACUAAAGUCAUCAAUAAUCUCACAUUAUCUCAAUCAUUAAAGAAAUCAAUUCAGAAGAAAUUCCGAUUAACCUGCUCUUUAAAUUUUAUACCUGAGUAAGUCGGUUACUCGUGAAUAGCUUCUUCCUUAAUAGCGACAUUGCAAAUCCCAAUAAUCAUUUAAAAAAAAUCUAAUAUCCUUUCUAGAACUCUCUUUACUUGCUAUCCCAUCCACAAUUCUGACUGCAUUAUUAUUCCUUCAAUUAUUGAACUCUUCAAUUUCACACUUGUAAACUUAAUGAAUACAAUUCUUGUAAAUUCCAUUGUUCAGGUGAGGGGGUGAAGGUCGUAAAGCCUCAAAAUUUGACUCUUAUAUAUAUACUUAUAUAUAUAUACACAUAACAUGACUUUUAUCGUCAAUAUAUUCAUUACAAACAUUCAUUUCAUACCUUAUAAAUCUUUACUCAUAUAGGCAACUCCCCUUUCUCUAUCAAAUACUCAAAUAUCACUUUCAUCACUGUCGGAACUAGAUCAAUUGGAGACAUUUUUGUCUAUUAGUAAAACAUUUCUCAUUUAUCAAGGUUACUCUUUUAAGUGUAUAAAUGUAUAUUUUCAUCCUUAUCUAUAAGAAUUACUAUUUUAAAUCUCCAUACAGAACUAAAUAACAUUUACUUAUUCACAACUUUAAAUUAUUUUAUUACAAAUACAUACUUCUUUAUUCACAGCUUUGUAACUUAUUUUUCCUUUAUAAUCAUUCAUCAUUGAAUCAAAGAUAAUCUUUUAUCUUGUAACAUUUUUUUUUUUAGCAGAGGCCCAGUAGACGAAACAGAACACUUAAGAAAUAUGGGACUGAUAUAACAUCUGAUGGCACCGUCCCUUCUGCGGGAAUAGGUGCAUUACUCUCUACUUCAUCUGUACUAGCUCGUUCAGGAUCCAUAACUAUAAAAGAAAACAUUUUAAAAUCGUCAGGAGUCGUCACACUAUCAAAAUAUAUAAGUAUGGCAUGUAUAGGUAGACUCUUAUUCUUACUGAGUAUUUCCGAGAACCGACUAAACCUGCUCUGAUACCAAUAAAAUGUAACACCCCUUACCCGAGACCGUUUCCGGAAUCGAGCACGAGGCAUUACUUAGCUUAUCUUACCAAUUCGGAGCAUAAAAACUAGGUUUGAAAAUUUAUUUCAUUAUUCGCAGCAAAUCUGUCUAAUCGCGCAGCAGUUACUAAAUUAAUUAUAACUUGAGCUACAGAACUCGAAAUUUAAUCUCGUAAAUUUUCCAUGAAACUAGACUCAUAUAUCUACUCACCAUAAAAUUUUUAGAAUUUUUGGUUCAGCAAAUUAGUACAGUUUAUUAGUUAAAGUCUCCCCUGUGUCACCACCAGACUGCCCUGACCUCUAGUCACUAAAAAUAAGUUUUCUCACUAUAGGAUUUUCAUAUGAAGUUCUUACUUGUUUCUAUAGAAAAUAGACUCAUUAAUAAAUCUAAGCAUGUAAAUUUCAACUCAUAAACAUUUUUGUACAAUUUUUUAUUAUUUUCUAAACUCAGAACAGGGGACUCCAAAAACAGUUCUGACCCUAUCUUACUAAAAAUUCACAUAUCUUAAAAUAUAAAUUUCUUUUUUUCUACACCGUUAUUUUUCCAUGAAAAUAGACUCAACAAGCUUUAAUUCCAUAUAUCAUUCACCCUCUAAUUCAUUUUAUACUAUCUUGGGUGAUUUUUCAAAUUCACGUCACUGUGCUGCCUGAAUUCUGUUUCUUUGCAAAAUUUUAUCCUUUCAUGAUUUCCAUGCAUAAUUUAUCACCUAAUAUUUCAUAACAACAAACACCUUCAUCCUUAAUCAUUUUAAUAACCAUACAUCAUCAAAUACUUACACAUCACUCAUUAGCAAAAUCAUCACUACAAACAUACAAAAUAACUAAAUUCCUAUACAUGCCAUAACUUAAACGUGUUUCGAUAUAAAAUACCGAGCAGUUGUAGUUGAUAGUGUGGACGAUCUCCGACUUCUUUAGGAUCCUUGAAGUAGCUUUGCAAUACUAUAAGAGAAAGAAAUAAAAGAAGUAAGCAUAAAGCUUAGUAAGUUUACUAGCAAAUAAAUAACAAUAUUUAACUUAAAUAAUUAAACUCAAUGUCUAUAUCUCUAGUUUACUCUUUAGUUAAUCUCAUACUAGUUCUCUUACUUGUUUACUUAGAAUAUUUGUGUGCAUAACUUACUCAAUCCUUGCUGCAUCGUUGAACAUCAAUUGAUAGUAUAAUAAGUUCUUAAGUCUUACAACUUACCUGAGCUUGCCAUUUAUGCUUUAAAAACAUGAUUCGUUUACAAGCCCGUUGAACUACAUUGGAAUAAUAAGGAUACUCGGGUCUCUUCUGAUAAUAACAUGCCAAAGCCAUGUCCCAGACAUGGUCUUACAUGGGAUGUUCUCGUGAUGGUGCCCAUGCCAUGUCCCAAACAUGGUCUUAUAGGGGACCUCUCAUCUCGGUGCCAACGCCAUGUCCCAGACAUGGUCUUACAUGGGACCUCUCGUCUCGGUGCCCAUGCCAUGUCCCAGACAUGGUCUUACAGGGGACCUCUCAUGAUCUUAAGGAUGCCAAUGCCAUGUCCCAGACAUGGUCUUACAUGGGAUCUCUUUACCCAAAUGUCAUGACAUUCGUAUCCAGUACCAUCCUUAUGUAUCAACGGGACUUUUAAAUUUUAAUUCUCUAUCAUUUCAUGCUUGGAUCAUCAUCAAAUAAAUUCAUAAAAUAAAUUCAUAAUUGCUGGAAAUUAACAGCAUUAAUAAUAAAUAUUGAAAUAUUGCAUUUAUUUACCGUAAACUUACCUCGGUACCAAUUAUAGCCAAAUUCACCAACUUAGUCUUCAACUUUAUUCUUCCCUUUGUCUAACCUCGAGUUUCGUACUUCUUGAUCUAAAAUAGUAAAUUUAACUUAUUUAAUAAUCACAUUCAUCAAAAUAGCCCUCGACUCUAACUUUUUCAAAAUUACAAUUUUGCCCCUAAACUUUUACAUAAUUACAUUUUUGCCCCAAGGCUCGGAAAUUAAACUUCAUCUCUUAUUCUUAUGUUUUAUAACAUUCUGAACAUUUUUCCCUUCUAUGGCAACAUCAAAUUCUAAUUUAAUCCCUUAUCAAUACUAAUUUUAUUUUUGCAUUCUAACUCUAUAUUCUCUCUUAAUUCUUACUAUAAAGUCAAUUUAAUUCCUCAAUUUCACCAUAAAUCCCUAAUUUCGGGAUUCUUUCAAUUUAAUCCCUAUCGAUUCAAAACUUAUAUUUUAUUUUACAAUUACGUUCUUUACUAACUUCUAACUUGAAAUUAAAUCAAUUUAACCCCUAACUAAACCUAUAUAUUUUUCUUUCUCAAUUCAUACCCUUAUUCUACCCAAUUUCUUGCUAAACUCAUAUUUAACUAUUUAAUUUUUAUCAUGUUUUCAUAAUUCCGAAUUUAUUUCAAAUUAAUCCCUAAAAUUCAAAACUUAUAGUUUAGUUUACAAUUCAAUCCUUUAUUCAAUUCCAAUCAAAAUUUCUAUCAAAUACAUCCCUAAUUUAACAAUUUAUUCAACAUGAACCAUGCUUAAUAAUCUACUAACUUCCAAAAUUUCAACUUAAUCAAGUAGUAUUUUGUUCUAGGAUUUCAAAAAAAAUAUCAAAAUUAAGAGAAAAUGGGAUUAAAUUGACUUACCAAAUUACUUUGAACCUUAAAACCCCAAAUUUCCCUUUUUCUUUUCUUUUCUUUCUUUCUUUCUUUCCUUCCUUCCUUCUCUGUUUCGUUUUGCUCUCUGUUUCUUUCUUUCUCCCUUCUCUGUUUUGUUUUGCUCUCUGUUUCUUUUCUUUCUUUCUUUGUCAUAUAUAUAAUAAUAUAAUAAUAUAAUAUAAUAUAAUAUAUUAAUAAUAAUAUAAUAUAAAAACAUAAUUAUUACUUACGCAUGUAUAAUAUAA